CUGAAACAUAAAUUAUAAUGAGAAGAAAAACAAUAAAGGUUAUUAUUUUUAAAACACUAGAGCUGAAUCUCAGCUACCUAUCUAGAUCUCUUGGCCUGAGCCCUGGACCCAGCUAAAAAUAGUUCAGAGCCUUGCCAGCUGGGAGCUGGGCUAUGUUUAGCAGAAACUGGCACACGAGUGAAAUGGGGUGGAGCCAAGUAGACACUUUGGAUCCGGUAGGCAUAGCUCUCCCACAGGAGACUGUUUAGGCCAUGCCUGGCAUCAGUAACUCAGGCUGUUUCCCACACUACAGGCCAGCACUGUGGGCUCUCAGUUUAUUGGGAAAUGGAAAUAAGAGGGAAGGACAAAAGUCCACUGGGAAGCAGACUGGACAGAAAGGAACUCUGAGCAGCUAAACUCUGACUAAUCCCAGGGUAUACCUGCGUUUUCUCUUCACCAGGUUAGACUUUUAAUUACUGAUUUGGUAAAUUUGGAUUCCUUUUUCAACAACUCAUGUAAAAAUGUUAUGUUUAUGUUUGGGGAGGCUGGGUGCGGUGGUUCAUGCCUGUAAUCUCAGCACUUUGGGAGGCCGAGACGGGUGGAUUGUUUGAGGUCAGGAGUUCAAGACCACCCUGGCCAACAUGGCGAAACACUGUCUCUACUAAAAAUACAAAAAUUAGCCAGCUGUGGUGGCACACGCUUGUAAUUCCAGCUACUCAGGAGGCUGAGGCAGGAGAAUCUGUUGGACCGGGGAGGCGUAGGUUGCAGUGAGCAUAGAUCCUGCCACUGUACUCCAGCCUGGGCAACAGAGCAAGACUGUAAAAAAAAAAAAAAAAAAAAAAGUUAUAUUUAUGUUUGGGGAAAGCAGGUGCAGAAUUAUUUAGAUUGCAACCAUAAAAAGUUCCCUGGGUGGUUUUGCUGCCAAAUCAGCUUAACCUGGGGAAUUCACUUCAGGUAACCUCCUCCUCCUUUCCUGUGGUCAUCCAAAAGGCAGGGAUGGCUAGUAUAAUUAUCCACAUCACAGGGAUGCUUAGAGGCUUAAUUAAUGUUCAUAACCCACUUUGAAGUAUUCAGAUGAAGAGACAGUUGACAGAAAUGGUGGUGUUCUAAGUUCUACUUACAAACUCUGGCAAGUUACAAAGCAAAUUUUGAAGUUGUUUUUUGGUACUCUACUUCCAAAUAUACUGGCAUGGCAACUCCAAGAUCCUCCGGAUUACAGGCAUGAGCCACUGCGCCCGGCUGAAAAUAGCCUUUCGAAACGUCCAACUUGAUUUGUUCAGCUUCCAUAUAUAACAUUUAACCUUCUGAUUUUAAUAUGGUUUCUUAAAUAGAUUUUUCCUACCAGGAAGAGCAUGUGCUGACCAACAGACAUGAAUUUCAGCCUGGUAGUUACAACAUUCACAGGUAAUGAAUAAAUGGCAUUGUAUUUUAUUAAUCAGUCUAUUAUAACUCUGAUUAAUAUAAAUCAAUUCCUCAGAGCCAGCUCUCUUUUAAAUAAAUGGAGAACAAUGAGUUUUAUGAAUUUGCAAUCUUU
rnacentral:lncRNA from 1 species